UACGUAGGGUCCGAGCGUUGUCCGGAAUUAUUGGGCGUAAAGAGCUCGUAGGCGGUUUGUUACGUCCGCUGUGAAAACCCAGGGCUUAACCCUGGGCUUGCAGUGGAUACGGGCAGACUAGAGGUAGGUAGGGGAGAAUGGAAUUCCCGGUGUAGCGGUGAAAUGCGCAGAUAUCGGGAGGAACACCGGUGGCGAAGGCGGUUCUCUGGGCCUUACCUGACGCUGAGGAGCGAAAGCGUGGGGAGCGAACAGG
rnacentral:rRNA from 1 species